UACAGAGGGGGCAAGCGUUGUUCGGAAUUACUGGGCGUAAAGGGCGCGUAGGCGGCCUGUUAAGUCGAACGUGAAAUUCCCCGGGCUCAACCCGGGGAACUGCGUCCGGAUACUGGCAGGCUUGAAUUCGGGAGAGGGAUGCGGAAUUCCAGGUGUAGCGGUGAAAUGCGUAGAUAUCUGGAGGAACACCGGUGGCGAAGGCGGCAUCCUGGACCGAGAUUGACGCUGAGGCGCGAA
rnacentral:rRNA from 1 species